CCCCAAGCACCUUCUCAGGCUAAAAGGAACACCAAGUUUUGGCAAACUUGAGUAUCCCUCUCUCUUUUUUUUCCUAUCUAAUCUAAUAGUUUUUCUGAUUUGAAAUAUGUUUGGGAAGUUAAUGACUUUUUUUCAAUUUUAUUUAUGCUGUAUCGAGAUAUUUAGAAUUUAGGGUUAGGCCCCAUUUGAUUUGAGUGUUUUUGAGAUUUUUUUCUCACAGAAAAAUCACCUUAAUUUGGAUUUAUUGGAACGAGUUUUUUUCUUGAUUCUUGAUAGUUUUAGGCUUGUUUUUUUUUUUUAAUUUACUUUAUAUUCAUAACUUUCUUGGCUUACUUUUUCUGCUCUCUCUUAGAAAAACAAGUGAAAGUACAAACCUCUUUGUUCUCUAGGUAUAUAACAACAUUCUUCGACUUGUUCUUUCUUUUCUUCUUCUUCGUAAGCGAAAUUUUAGUUCUUGAAACUUGCAUUCCAGCAUAGAAGAAAGAAAUUAAAGAAAGGUAGAGAAACCAAAAGGGUCGCUAAAUGCUUGAAGAAACAGAGAAGUUUAUGUUUAUCUUAGUUUGGUGUAAAAAUCUAAUCUUUUUUUCUAUUUUUGGUGAUGAAAUGGAACUGGGUUUGUAAUGUGGUACCCGAUUUUAUUAUAACUGGAUCAUCGAAUUUUUCUUUGUGGUUUUUUUCCUUCUAAUAGAUGCAUUGGGUUUUGGAGGUACUAAUUUUUUCUUUUUUGAUGAUAUCAAUGCUAAAAAAAAUGCAUUGGUGUUUAUUUGGGUCUGCAUGUGGUUGAAGAUAAAAUCUAAGUGUUGGAUUGACUUGUUUUUGGUUUUCGUUUCAGAAAGAUGUGUUUUUUUUUUACUUUGCAGGUAAAUUUAGCUCAGCAUUUUUACAACUGUGAUUGAAUUUUUAUCUUAACUAAGUCUUAUGUUUGUCUUUUUUUUUAAAAAAAAAGUUUCUUGUUAAUGGGUUUUCUUCUUUUGUUAAUGGGUUUUAACUUUCAUUUCAAAGUGUUAUGUUUUUUAUUUAUCUUUUUGUGACUAUGGUUGAGGUUGGAUAGUGGUUUCCCCAGUAAAUUUCAUUAAUGAGUGGUUAUAUUAGUGUUGUGAAAGUCAGAAUUUUGAAAUUCUCUUAACUGAUAAAAAAAGUCAAAAAUUUGAAAUAAAUAGAUGCCUUUUAAGUUGUGGGACUAGUUGGUAUUUGGCAUCUUUUAGUCUCUUGUUUUUGGAUAUUAACCAGCUUAUGUUAAUUGCAAAUGGAUGUUGGCGCAUGCAUUUGUGUAAAUAUCUGUGAUAUUUUAUAUUGAUGUUAAAGCCCUUUUUGUUUUGCUAUUUUUUAAAUUGUGGUCGCCGAGGGUCUAUCGGAAACAACUUCUCUGACCUUUCCGGGUAGGGGUAGGGCUGCGAACAUCUUACCCUCCCAAACCCCACUUGUGAGAAUUUACUGGGUUUGUUGUCGUUGUUGUCUAUAUUCAUCUAAUUAAUGGAUUUAUUUUCACAUCUGAAUGCAAAGCAGGAGUACUUUACUGAAGCUAAAAAUAGGUUGGAAAAGUUAUCAGAAACUCAUUCAUCAGUGGAGAAUUCUCAGAGGUGAUAAUGUCAUAACUAUCAGUGGAAAAGAUAAAGGCGAGACUGGUACCAUUAAACGUGUCAUACGUUCCCAAAACCGUGUAAUCAUUGAGGGCAAAAACCUGGU